GAGAAGAACGUAGCGAAAUGCGAUAAGUAAUGUGAAUUGCAGAAUUCAGUGAAUCAUCGAAUCUUUGAACGCACAUUGCGCCCGCCAGUAUUCUGGCGGGCAUGCCUGUCCGAGCGUCAUUUCAACCCUCGAACCCCUCCGGGGGGUCGGCGUUGGGGAUCGGCCCUGCCUCUUGGCGGUGGCCGUCUCCGAAAUACAGUGGCGGUCUCGCCGCAGCCUCUCCUGCGCAGUAGUUUGCACACUCGCAUCGGGAGCGCGGCGCGUCCACAGACGUUAAACACCCAACUUCUGAAAUGUUGACCUCGGAUCAGGUAGGAAUACCCGCUGAACUUAAGCAUAUCAAUAAGCGGAGGA
rnacentral:misc_RNA from 1 species